rnacentral:rRNA from 1 species
GCUGUCUAGUAUAGCAUUAUACCGUGAAACUGCGAAUGGCUCAUUAAAUCAGUUAUCGUUUAUUUGAUAGUACCUUACUACUUGGAUAACCGUGGUAAUUCUAGAGCUAAUACAUGCUAAAAACCCCGACUUCGGGAGGGGUGUAUUUAUUAGAUAAAAAACCAAUGCCCUUCGGGGCUCUUUGGUGAUUCAUGAUAACUUAACGGAUCGCAUGGCCUUGCGCCGGCGACGGUUCAUUCAAAUUUCUGCCCUAUCAACUUUCGAUGGUAAGGUAUUGGCUUACCAUGGUUUCAACGGGUAACGGGGAAUUAGGGUUCGAUUCCGGAGAGGGAGCCUGAGAAACGGCUACCACAUCCAAGGAAGGCAGCAGGCGCGCAAAUUACCCAAUCCCGACACGGGGAGGUAGUGACAAUAAAUACUGAUACAGGGCUCUUUUGGGUCUUGUAAUCGGAAUGAGUACAAUUUAAACCCCUUAACGAGGAACAAUUGGAGGGCAAGUCUGGUGCCAGCAGCCGCGGUAAUUCCAGCUCCAAUAGCGUAUAUUAAAGUUGUUGCAGUUAAAAAGCUCGUAGUUGAACCUUGGGCCUGGCUGGCCGGUCCGCCUCACCGCGUGCACUGGUCCGGCCGGGCCUUUCCUUCUGGAGAGCCUCAUGCCCUUUACUGGGUGUGUAGGGGAACCAGGACUUUUACUUUGAAAAAAUUAGAGUGUUCAAAGCAGGCCUUUGCUCGAAUACGUUAGCAUGGAAUAAUAGAAUAGGACGUGCGGUCCUAUUUUGUUGGUUUCUAGGACCGCCGUAAUGAUUAAUAGGGAUAGUCGGGGGCAUCAGUAUUCAAUUGUCAGAGGUGAAAUUCUUGGAUUUAUUGAAGACUAACUACUGCGAAAGCAUUUGCCAAGGAUGUUUUCAUUAAUCAGUGAACGAAGGUUAGGGGAUCGAAGACGAUCAGAUACCGUCGUAGUCUUAACCGUAAACUAUGCCGACUAGGGAUCGGGCGAUGUUUCUAUCUUGACUCGCUCGGCACCUUACGAGAAAUCAAAG